ensembl:lncRNA
UUCCAAAUAUGUUAAUGCAACCAUCAGUAUUUUCCAGUAAUUACAAAAUCAGUCAUUUUUAAUAGUUGUUCCUUAUUAACAACAAAUCAUUAUAACACAAAUGUUGAUCAACCAUCAGAGCAAAGACAGAUUCAUUUGCAGCACAUCAGACAGUUUGCUUGAUAGACAAGCACUGGCUGCAACAAUCAGGAAAGAACAGUCGGAGAGGCAUUUUUGUAAACUUGGGUCCAUUGGUCACAUAAUAUAUUUCAGAUUUCAAACACCCCUGGGAAGACGUACAGUGAAACAGUAUUUGCCCCCUUUCUGAUUUUUCUCUACUGUUGCAUAUUUUUAUACUGACUGUUAGCAGGUCUUCAACCAAAACCUAAUAUUAGAUAAAGGGAACCUGAGUUUACAAAGAACAGUCAUUUUAUUUAUUUAAUUAACAAAUGGGACCCAUGUCAUCCCAAAAAUUAUACUUUUCAAUCAUCUGUCCAUAGAACAUUCUUCCAGAAGUCUUGAUGAUCGUCAUUUUGGCAAACUUGAGUAAACUUUUUGGACAUGGGUUCCAUUAUGGGGUGGCAGGUAGCCUAGUGGUUAGAGCGUUGGGCCAGUAACCAGCAGGUAGCCUAGUGGUUAGAGCGUUGGGCCAGUAACCAGCAGGUAGCCUAGUGGUUAGAGCGUUGGGCCAGUAAUCAGCAGGUAGCCUAGUGGUUAGAGCGUUGGGCCAGUAAUCAGCAGGUAGCCUAGUGGUUAGAGCGUUGGGCCAGUAAUCAGCAGGUAGCCUAGUGGUUAGAGUGUUGGGCCAGUAACCAGCAGGUAGCCUAGUGGUUAGAGCGUUGGGCCAGUAACCAGCAGGUAGCCUAGUGGUUAGAGCAUUGGACCAGUAACCAGCAGGUAGCCUAGUGGUUAGAGCAUUGGGCCAGUAACCAGCAGGUAGCCUAGUGGUUAGAGCGUUGGGCCAGUAACCAGCAGGUAGCCUAGUGGUUAGAGCGUUGGGCCAGUAAUCAGCAGGUAGCCUAGUGGUUAGAGCGUUGGGCCAGUAACCAGCAGGUAGCCUAGUGGUUAGAGCGUUGGGCCAGUAACCAGCAGGUAGCCUAGUGGUUAGAGCGUUGGGCCAGUAACCAGCAGGUAGCCUAGUGGUUAGAGCGUUGGGCCAGUAACCAGCAGGUAGCCUAGUGGUUAGAGCGUUGGGCCAGUAACCAGCAGGUAGCCUAGUGGUUAGAGUGUUGGGUCAGUAACCAGCAGGUAGCCUAGUGGUUAGAGCGUUGGACCAGUAACCAGCAGGUAGCCUAGUGGUUAGAGCGUUGGACCAGUAACCAGCAGGUAGCCUAGUGGUUAGAGCAUUGGGCCAGUAACCAGCAGGUAGCCUAGUGGUUAGAGCAUUGGACCAGUAACCAGCAGGUAGCCUAGUGGUUAGAGCGUUGGGCCAGUAACCAGCAGGUUGCUAGAUUGAACACCCGAGCUGACAAGGUAUAAAUCUGUCAUUCUGUCCCUGAACAAGGCAGUUAACCCACUGUUUCUUGGCCGUCGUUUAAAAUAAGAAUUUGUUCUUAACUGACUUGCCUGGUUAAACAAAAUUGUUUUUAUGCCUGGCAAAAACUAAACACUGCAUUCCACAGUAAGAACCUCAUACCAACGGUCAAGCAUGGUGGUGGCAGUGUGAUGGUUUGGGGUCAGCAUGGUGGUGGUAGUGUGAUGGUUUGGGGUCAGCAUGGUGGUGGUAGUGGGAUGGUUUGGGGUCAGCAUGGUGGUGGUAGUGUGAUGGUUUGGGGUCAGCAUGGUGGUGGUAGUGUGAUGGUUUGGGGUCAGCAUGGUGGUGGCAGUGUGAUGGUUUGGGGAUGCUUUGCUACCUCAGGACCUGGACGACUUGCCUUAAUAGUAGGGAACCAUGAAUUCUGCUCUGUAUCAGAGAAUUCUACAGGAGGAUGUCAGGCCGUCCGUCUGUGAGCUGAAACUGAAGUGCAGCUGGGUCAUGCAGCAAGAUAAUGAUUAAAAACACAAGUCUACAUAAAAAUGGCUAAAGAGCAACACAUUUGAAGAUUGGAAUGGCCUAGUCAAAGUUUAGACCUAAUCCCUAGUCCCAAUUGAGAUGUUGUGGCAGGACUUGAAAAGAGCAUUUCAUGCUUGAAAACCCACACAUUGCUGAAUUAAAGCAGUUCCGCAUGGAAGAGUGGGACAGAAUUCCUCCACAGCGACGUGAGAGACUGAUCAACAACUACAGGAAGUGUUUGGUUGGAGUCGUUGCAGCUAAAGGUGGACUGAUCAACAACUACAGGAAGUGUUUGGUUGGAGUCGUUGCAGCUAAAGGUGGACUGAUCAACAACUACAGGAAGUGUUUGGUUGGAGUCGUUGCAGCUAAAGGUGGACUGAUCAACAACUACAGGAAGUGUUUGGUUGGAGUCGUUGCAGCUAAAGGUGGACUGAUCAACAACUACAGGAAGUGUUUGGUUGGAGUCGUUGCAGCUGAAGGAGGCACAACCAGUUAUUGAGUAUAAGGGGACAAUCACUUUUUCACACAGGGGAAUUUGGUGUUGCAUAACUUUGUUUAUGAAAUAAAUUAAAUAAAGAAUGUAAUUGUUGUGUUAUUUGUUCACUCAGGUUUCCUUUAUCUAAUAUUAGGUUUUGGUUGAAGAUCUGAUAACAUUCAGUGUCAAAAAUAUGCAAAAGAAGAGAAAACUAAAAAGGGGGAAAAUACUUUAUCACGGGAACAACGGCCACUAAAACACCCUUCUACCAUAGUAAAACACCCUUCUACCAUAGUAAAACACCCUUCUACCAUAGUAAAACACCUUUCUACCAUAGUAAAACACCCUUCUACCAUAGUAAAACACCCUUCUACCAUAGUAAAA